UGGGGGAUAUUGCACAAUGGGCGAAAGCCUGAUGCAGCGACGCCGCGUGGGGGAUGAAGGCCUUCGGGUUGUAAACUUCUUUUGCUCUGAACAAGGCGCACCAUGGGGUGUGUUGAGUGUAGGGGUUGAUUAGCGCCGGCUAACUACGUGCCAGCAGCCGCGGUAAUACGUAGGGCGCGAGCGUUGUCCGGAAUUAUUGGGCGUAAAGGGCUUGUAGGUGGCUGGUUGCGUCUGUCGUGAAAGCUCAUGGCUUAACUGUGGGUUUGCGGUGGGUACGGGCUGGCUUGAGUGCAGUAGGGGAGGCUGGAAUUCCUGGAGUAGCGGUGGAAUGCGCAGAUAUCAGGAGGAAUACCGGUGGCGAAGGCGGGUCUCUGGGCUGUUACUGACACUGAGGAGCGAAAGCAUGGGGAGCGAACAGG
rnacentral:rRNA from 1 species